rnacentral:rRNA from 1 species
UACGGAGGGUGCAAGCGUUACCCGGAAUCACUGGGCGUAAAGGGCGUGUAGGCGGAUAUUUAAGUCUGGUUUUAAAGACCACAGCUCAACUGGGGAAGUGGACUGGGAUACUGGAUGUCUUGACCUCUGGAGAGAGAACCGGAAUUCCUGGUGUAGCGGUGGAAUGCGUAGAUACCAGGAGGAACACCAAUGGCGAAGGCAGGUUCUUGGACAGAAGGUGACGCUGAGGCGCGAAAGUGUGGGGAGCGAACCGG